rnacentral:rRNA from 1 species
UGGCGCGUGCCUAAUACAUGCAAGUCGAGCGGACAGAUGGGAGCUUGCUCCCUGAUGUUAGCGGCGGACGGGUGAGUAACACGUGGGUAACCUGCCUGUAAGACUGGGAUAACUCCGGGAAACCGGGGCUAAUACCGGAUGGUUGUUUGAACCGCAUGGUUCAAACAUAAAAGGUGGCUUCGGCUACCACUUACAGAUGGACCCGCGGCGCAUUAGCUAGUUGGUGAGGUAACGGCUCACCAAGGCAACGAUGCGUAGCCGACCUGAGAGGGUGAUCGGCCACACUGGGACUGAGACACGGCCCAGACUCCUACGGGAGGCAGCAGUAGGGAAUCUUCCGCAAUGGACGAAAGUCUGACGGAGCAACGCCGCGUGAGUGAUGAAGGUUUUCGGAUCGUAAAGCUCUGUUGUUAGGGAAGAACAAGUACCGUUCGAAUAGGGCGGUACCUUGACGGUACCUAACCAGAAAGCCACGGCUAACUACGUGCCAGCAGCCGCGGUAAUACGUAGGUGGCAAGCGUUGUCCGGAAUUAUUGGGCGUAAAGGGCUCGCAGGCGGUUUCUUAAGUCUGAUGUGAAAGCCCCCGGCUCAACCGGGGAGGGUCAUUGGAAACUGGGGAACUUGAGUGCAGAAGAGGAGAGUGGAAUUCCACGUGUAGCGGUGAAAUGCGUAGAGAUGUGGAGGAACACCAGUGGCGAAGGCGACUCUCUGGUCUGUAACUGACGCUGAGGAGCGAAAGCGUGGGGAGCGAACAGGAUUAGAUACCCUGGUAGUCCACGCCGUAAACGAUGAGUGCUAAGUGUUAGGGGGUUUCCGCCCCUUAGUGCUGCAGCUAACGCAUUAAGCACUCCGCCUGGGGAGUACGGUCGCAAGACUGAAACUCGGAAUUGACGGGGGCCCGCACAAGCGGUGGAGCAUGUGGUUUAAUUCGAAGCAACGCGAAGAACCUUACCAGGUCUUGACAUCCUCUGACAUCCUAGAGAUAGGACGUCCCCUUCGGGGCAGAGUGACGUGGUCAUGGUUGUCGUCAGCUCGUGUCGAGAGUUGGGUAAGUCCCCAACGACCACCCGAUCUUAUGCCAGCAUUAGUUGGGUCUAAGGUGACUGCUGACGAGGGGGUGACGUAUCUGCCCUUAUGACCUGGUAC